CCCCACAGAGCAAUGGCCGACAGGCCGCGCAUGCGGGUUGAAGGCGGUUUUCUGCCCAAGCACUACCCCACAGAGUAAUGGCGUCAGUGUCUCACCGCGCAUGGGCAGGAAGGCCUCCGUAGGCCUCGUCGCAUCCCCGGGCCAGUGGGGGUUGGUGUGUCGGCUUGGAGAUGCCGCAGGAGCUAGCGGCGGAACAGAGGGGACGGCUCCUGCGCUCUCUGAACACUCGGGAGCCCGCUCACGUGAUCUUUUGUAAUCGGAGCCCCCGGGUGGUCAUCCCCAUCUGGCUGGACUUCGAGGGCCAGCCACAGUCCUACCCGGUCCUGCAGCCGGGCACCGGCCGGCGGAUGUACAGCUACCUCGAACAUCUUUGGCUGUUCAGAGAUGCAGAAACAGAUGAUGGACUUCUUGUCAAUCAGACAGAGCUGUUUGUGCCUACUCGCAAUGUGAAUGGCCAGCCCAUAUUUGCAAAUAUCACACUUCCAGUGUUCAGUCUGAAAGAGAGGUGUCUUCAGGUUAUUCGCAGUCUGGUAAAACCAGUGGACUACAGGAGAUUGGAUAUUGUUCGGUCAUUAUAUGAAGAUCUGGAAGAUCAUCCCGACAUUAGGAAGGAUCUUCAACGGCUGUCUCUGGAAAGAAGUUAAAUGAUAAGGAAUGGUGUCUCUGAUUUAAAAUGAACAUCAUUCAUUCCAGACUCUUAAGUGGGGAAGAAAACUCCAUUGGGAAACUACUGUGUCUCAGGCACUCUGGUUACCUCCUUGAGACCUGAGGAAAAGUUCUGUGCAGCUCAAAAGCUCAUCGCUUCCACCAACAGAAUUUGAUCCAGUAAAAAAUAUUACCUCACCUACUUUGUCACUCUCAAAACCUGGGACCAACAUGGCAACAACAACCAUGCAAAUAACAUAUAUGCAGGAAUCCAUCAAAGGUGUAAGUGCUAUGCGAGAUGAGAAGCAGAUCUUUGCGUAAUAUUUUGCCAUUGUUUAAUCUUGCACAUUUAUUUCUAAUGAAACAAAAUGUAUACAUUCUAGGAAAACUGCUGUGAAACUACAUGAGUAAGAAGCCGUAGUGUAAAUAUUUGUGGCUUUUCCAUUUUUGUAAAUAUUAGUUUAUUUUUUCUUAAAACAUUGUGAAUUAACUGAGUUUUGUUCUGUGCCAGAAAAUGUAAAUACAUAUUAACUUGAUAUUGAGUUUUAUUUUUUACAUAGUUUUCUUGUGUAUGUUUAUCAGCUACCUUUUUAGCCAUAUAUUCUUGCAUACUAGAAGGAAGCCCUGGCGGUAUUUUUAACCAACCACAAAUGUACACUUUGCAAAACUACUGAAACAAAAUCACCAGUUUACAAAACAUAACUAACCUCUUCCAUAGGCUGUGACUAUGCUAAACUUUUCCCCCUAAAAUUUCCCUCUGUUGCUACUAAUGAUGAAGCUCCAAUGUUGGGAGAUCUAGUGUAGACAAGGUGCCAGCAGUUUCCACCAUUUAAAACCACCCUCUAAGGUAGUUGUGGUAAAAACGCCAAUGCCUUGCCUACACUAGUACUCCAUUCUUGCUACCUCUGAUUGCUGCUCCACUAGUAGUAGUAACAAUGGGAAAUACUAAAAAAAAAAAAAAAUCUGAUGUAGACAAGGCUGUGUAGAUUGGAUUCAGAUUCGGACACUUAGUAAUUUGUCCAGGCCCUAAAACUUCCUUUUUUUUGUUUAAAGUAUGGCAAAUUACAUACUUUGAAGGUUCAAUUCUACAAACACUGGGACAGACUCUUUUUAUCAGUGUUGUUCUUUUGUUAUUCUAUAUUUGUCCAAUAAAUGUAUUAUAAUCCACUUAAAAAACCAGCCUAUUUUGAACUGACUGUUUUUAACUACUAGAUCUUAGGUUUGAACAUGCUUUUGGGGUUAUUCCUAACCUUUCUGUAUAAUAUGGUUCUAAGUUACAUAGAUUUUAUGUACUCUUGUGACUAUCAGGAUUAUUAAAGUUUGUGUUAAAAUUA